GGUGUAGAGGGAGACAUUUGUAUUUCACAGUGAGGGAGGGGGUGUCAAAAUUCAUUUUGGCCCAGGGUGCUGUGAAACCUAGGUAUGACUAUGAAUUUGUACAACCUUUGAGGUAAAUCUCUUUGGCUUUCUCCAUGACAUCUACCAUCACAUAGAAAUCUGACCCCUUACAAAGAAAAAAGUUGUCCCACUCUUUGACUGUGGGAUUGUUAAAACCUCUACCUAUAACUUCUAAGCCUCGGAAUUCAAUAAUAUGGAUUUUAUACUUGGCCUUUCUCCAUCAGAAUGAAACACUUCAAUUUUG